GAGCUGUCAGCACAGAGCCGGAUGUGGGGCUCAAACUCACAGAUCCUGAGAUCAUGACCUGAGCCAAAGUUGGACACUUAAGUGACUGAGCCACCAAGUCGCCCCACCCCCCACUGUUUCCUUUUUGAGGGCCGGGCAGGGCAGAAGUCAAUGACAUGAUACCCAUUCCUUCCGCACCACCAAGGAGAGUUGGGUGUAAGCAUGUGACUCUUUCCAGGUCCUCAAAGCCCAUGCGUUCUGCCCCAGAGCCCCUGACUCCUGCUUGGCCCUCCUUCCUCCCAGGUUAUGGAGGCAACCAGCCUUCCAUCCACGUUGGGGUCAUGGCUGGGCCACCAAGGGCUCAAAAUCUCGCUGUCCACAUGCUUCCCUGUGGUGUCUGGAACAGCCGUGCUCCAGUAAAGGUCAGGCUUGUUUCGGGGGAGAAAACCUGACACAAAUUCGGAGGAACAGGAGCCGCAUUCAGUUGGGAAGUGAAGCCGCCAAAUGUUGACUCUCAGGACCUUCUAGAAGAAGGAGCUGAGACCCACUCUCCGAGUCCUGCCGGAACCAGAGCGAGAGAUGAAAACACAAUGUGCCCUCCACAUCGCACAUGCUUUUAUGAAGUUUCAGUGGGGAUUUUUUCCCAACAAUGUUGUAGUCGUUGGAAACAACUGGAAACCUGACAGUUUUACUAAAAGCAGAUUCACGGCGUCCCUCCCAGACUGCUCAUGGUCAAAGAACAUACCAAGGCCACUUCUCAGUAUGGUCAGAGAUUCACAGACCUGCCUGAGUUUUACAUUCACCACACAUACUUUCAAGGCUCCUUUCUGUCCCUGUAAGAAACAAGACAGACCUUCUGAUGCGCAGGCAAGUUGCUGUAACUUCAAGAUUUGUGGUGUACGUGUCUGUUAACUCCCCCCCCCAGUUGAAAAUAUCACCCCACCUUGAGUACUGCCAUAAAAAAUGUAACCUAUGUUCACCAGUAUGAUUUCAUUUCGUUAGAGUGGAUUUCUUCAUUUGAUAUUUUGUGUAUAUGCAUACAUUAGAUGUUUUAGUCCUGAGAAAAUCCCACAUGUAGUUGAAAGAAAAAUGUACAUCCUAUAUGGAAAAUUAGGAGAUUGCACAUUAAAUUCAUAAAUGUAGAAUUUUUUAAUGUUUUUAUUUAUUUUAUUUAUUAUUUUUUAACUAUGCAAUUCAUUGUCAAAUUGGAUUCCAACAACACCCAGUGCUCAUCCCAACAGGUGCCCUCCU